rnacentral:rRNA from 1 species
UACGGGGGGAGCAAGCGUUGUUCGGAUUUACUGGGCGUAAAGGGCGCGUAGGCGGCCACUGCAAGUCGGUUGUGAAAUCUCCGGGCUUAACUCGGAAAGGUCAACCGAUACUGCAGGGCUAGAGUGCGGAAGGGGCAACUGGAAUUCUCGGUGUAGCGGUGAAAUGCGUAGAGAUCGGGAGGAAGGCCGGUGGCGAAGGCGGCGCUCUGGAACGUUUCUGACGCUGAGGCUCGAAAGCGUGGGGAGCAAACAGG